rnacentral:rRNA from 1 species
AGAGUUUGAUCCUGGCUCAGAGCGAACGCUGGCGGCAGGCCUAACACAUGCAAGUCGAGCGCCCCGCAAGGGGAGCGGCAGACGGGAGAGUAACACGUGGGAACGUACCCUUCAGUUCGGAACAACCCAGGGAAACUUGGGCUAAUACCGGAUACGUCCGUAAGGAGAAAGAUUUAUCGCUGAAGGAUCGGCCCGCGUCUGAUUAGCUUGUUGGUGAGGUAACGGCUCACCAAGGCUACGAUCAGUAGCUGGUCUGAGAGGAUGAUCAGCCUCACUGGGACUGAGACACGGCCCAGACUCCUACGGGAGGCAGCAGUGGGGAAUAUUGGACAAUGGGCGCAAGCCUGAUCCAGCCAUGCCGCGUGGGUGAUGAAGGCCCUAGGGUUGUAAAGCCCUU